GAACCAUUUCUUGUAGUGAUCUCAACCUUUAUUAUUGAACAGGAAAUAGUUGCAGAAAUAAACUAAUGAAAUAAUUUUCUCAGAAGAGUCCCAACAAUUUGCAUUAACUAUUAACAUGGUUGCAAAACUUCAGUAGUAAAGAGGGUACCAUGUUUCUUUUGUCUUUACUUGACUGGAAUUACAACAUGAAGCACAUGAACAAAACAUACGAACAAGCAAUCCCAUAAACGCUCUUGAAUCUUGUUUAUACUUUUCUUGUAUAAUAACAUGUGGGGGAAGAGCAUUACCAUGAUGGGAUCUGAAUCAUUAAUGAUCUCAAUCGAAGCAUACAACCUGGACAAUGUAGACUAAAUCUGGAGAAAAAAUAUUACUUGUCCACAAGGGUGAGAUUGACCUACACAUUGCCAAACAACCCUUUACAAUCACUUGGUUCAGAUCUUCCCUACAAGGUGAUGAGCAUUCCGCUACAGCAAACAAAUAGAAUUAAAUUCAAAAUAUAACCAGUUUUAUGGAGACUACUACAAGGCAAGUUUAGCUAAUAAGACUUCUAUAGCAUGCAAGAUGUUUCUUAGAUCAACAAAACCAAGAACAAGAGCUAUGAUAGCGAACCCUUGAGCAACAUAUAAUGAGUAGGGUAUUCAAAGAAGGUCAUAUCUUCCACACAAGGUUGAUCAGAACAAGAAAUAAUCAAGUCUACUAAUAUAUUACUGAAUCACAUAGCAUCAUAGGAGAAAACAAUGAUUCAAGUUUAAAUAAGACAUACAUAUAUGCUAAGGAAAAGUAAGUCACAACCAAAAGCAUUUUGACUUCCAUUUAUUUGCACACGCAAAAUCAUCAGGUGCUCACAGUUUAGAUCAGGUAAGGUAAUUUUGUAGCUCCCCACUGUUGCUGGCCUAACAAGACUCGUCCUCCAACAUAACAACAUAUUUGAAAUCUCCAUUACAGUAAAUAAAUGAGAGGACAGUGCAUAAGUCACAUCAUAUUAUACAAGCAAGCUAAAUCUAGGAUUUGUGGUCGAUGGUGUAUAUACAUGCACAUAGAGGAGGCUGGAGUUGUGGAAGUCAAACAUACUUGCCAGCAC
rnacentral:lncRNA from 1 species